rnacentral:lncRNA from 1 species
GGAAUGUGGCAACGGUUGGCGCCUAAACACCCGGAUCAUUUCCUAUGGAGUGGGCGGGAGAGUUGACCCAUGCCAGCCUCAAUUUCUACCCCUGUGUUAGGGUAAAAGGCUGCGGUCACCUUUAUAGAUCCCAGGUCACCUGUAUAGACCGAGAGGACUCUGCUUUAAAGCACCCAGAAGGUUCUACUGCGGGACCAGUGUGGACAAGAGGCUGGGAGAGGAG